rnacentral:rRNA from 1 species
UGUAAACUAUAAAACCCUCAUGUAGUAAACUAAAAAUUAUGGCGGCUUUCAUUCUCGUUAGAGGCCUAUGAGCAUAAUGGAUUUUACACCAUCAUCUUACUCUAUUUAUUAAAAUUUUUUAUAUCGCCGUUUAAAGAGGAAAAAUAAAAAUUUCUUUCACUUUGAUGAGAAGUGCCCUGAAAACAGGUAAAGAUGAAGACCAAAAUAGAGGUAACUUGUAGGCCAUUUUCAAAGAAGGAUGAGUGGGAGGUAUAUUCCUGCCAAUUUGAAUUUAAAAGUAAACUUUUUUUAUAAAAAAGAUUUGAAAAGAGUUCAUGAAAGUGUA